rnacentral:misc_RNA from 1 species
GCUUGAUCAAUUUGCCAGCUCAAAAAACGUUCAGAUCGAUGAGCUAGAACACUAGAAGGUAGGCACGACGCCGUAGCCGGCGAAGUCGAGCAUGAUCUGCGGCGGCGGCGCGGCGGCGUCGUGGUCGUCGGCGCGCUUGGCGAAGCGGCCCUUGACGCGGGGGCGCGUCUCGGCGUAGGCCUUGCGCGACGCGUACCGGAUCGUCUUCUCGAACCGCCGGUUCUUGCGCUUCUCCCGGUAUCGCAUCAGCCGCGCCGCUCUCCCCUCCGCCGCGUACGCCCUCCCGGCCGCCGCCGCCGCGCAGUCGCUCAUCUCCGGCGCCGCCACGCCCAUAUCCAUCG